rnacentral:rRNA from 1 species
UAGUUUGAUCAUGGCUCAGGAUGAACGCUGGCGGCGUGCUUAACACAUGCAAGUCGAACGAACCUUCGGGUUAGUGGCGGACGGGUGAGUAACGCGUGAGAAUCUGCCCUCAGGAGGGGGACAACAGCUGGAAACGGCUGCUAAUACCCCAUAUGCCGCGAGGUGAAAUGAAUUUCGCCUGAGGAUGAGCUCGCGUCUGAUUAGCUAGUUGGUGUAGGUAAUGGCUCACCAAGGCAUCGAUCAGUAGCUGGUCUGAGAGGAUGAUCAGCCACACUGGGACUGAGACACGGCCCAGACUCCUACGGGAGGCAGCAGUGGGGAAUUUUCCGCAAUGGGCGAAAGCCUGACGGAGCAACGCCGCGUGAGGGAUGAAGGCCUCUGGGCUGUAAACCUCUUUUAUCAAGGAAGAAGAUCUGACGGUACUUGAUGAAUAAGCCACGGCUAAUUCCGUGCCAGCAGCCGCGGUAAUACGGGAGUGGCAAGCGUUAUCCGGAAUUAUUGGGCGUAAAGCGUCCGCAGGCGGCCCUUCAAGUCUGCUGUUAAAAAGUGGAGCUUAACUCCAUCAUGGCAGUGGAAACUGUUGGGCUUGAGUGUGGUAGGGGC